CCCUGGCGCUCUAGUGGUUAAGGCUCUGAACUUCCAAUUCAGGGGGUGAGGGUUCAAUCCUUCGUCAGGGA
rnacentral:tRNA from 1 species